rnacentral:rRNA from 1 species
AUUGAACGCUGGCGGCAUGCCUUACACAUGCAAGUCGAACGGUAACAGGUCUUCGGAUGCUGACGAGUGGCGAACGGGUGAGUAAUACAUCGGAACGUGCCCGAGAGUGGGGGAUAACGAGGCGAAAGCUUUGCUAAUACCGCAUACGAUCUCAGGAUGAAAGCAGGGGACCGCAAGGCCUUGCGCUCACGGAGCGGCCGAUGGCAGAUUAGGUAGUUGGUGGGAUAAAAGCUUACCAAGCCGACGAUCUGUAGCUGGUCUGAGAGGACGACCAGCCACACUGGGACUGAGACACGGCCCAGACUCCUACGGGAGGCAGCAGUGGGGAAUUUUGGACAAUGGGCGAAAGCCUGAUCCAGCAAUGCCGCGUGCAGGAAGAAGGCCUUCGGGUUGUAAACUGCUUUUGUACGGAGCGAAAAGGUCUCCUCUAAUACAGGGGGCUCAUGACGGUACCGUAAGAAUAAGCACCGGCUAACUACGUGCCAGCAGCCGCCGUAA